UACGUCGGCAGCAAGCGUUGUUCGGAGUUACUGGGCGUAAAGGGUGUGUAGGCGGUUCUUUAAGUUUGGUGUGAAAUCUCCCGGCUCAACUGGGAGGGUGCGCCGAAUACUGAGGGACUAGAGUACGGGAGAGGAAAGUGGAAUUCCUGGUGUAGCGGUGAAAUGCGUAGAUAUCAGGAGGAACACCGGUGGUGUAGACGGCUUUCUGGACCGACACUGACGCUGAGACACGAAAGCGUGGGUAGCAAACAGG
rnacentral:rRNA from 1 species